rnacentral:rRNA from 1 species
UACAGAGGGGGCAAGCGUUGUUCGGAAUUACUGGGCGUAAAGGGCGCGUAGGUGGCCUUCUAAGUCGAACGUGAAAUCCCUGGGCUCAACCCAGGAACUGCGUCCGAUACUGGAAGGCUUGAAUCCGGGAGAGGGAUGCGGAAUUCCAGGUGUAGCGGUGAAAUGCGUAGAUAUCUGGAGGAACACCGGUGGCGAAGGCGGCAUCCUGGACCGGCAUUGGCGCUGAGGCGCGAAAGCUAGGGGAGCAAACGGG